CACCCCGGGGUUGACCUGCACAGGGUUCAUGGGGCCUCGGUGGCCUGGAGCUGCAGGGGGAAGCCAGGGCACCUCAGUCCGCACACAUGGCAGCCCCACACGUCCUGGGGCACAUUCUGCGUGUGAACCUUGGCGUGCUGAUUUAAAAUGCAGUUUCCUGGACUCCACAUUACAUCUACUGAAUCAGUCUCCAGGGAUAAAGCCCUUGAAUCUGAGAUUUGAUCAGGGCUCUAAGUAAGCUUCACGUACAUUAUAGUUUGACAAGCACAGCUCCAGGCAUGGAUGGGACUCGACAUAAUUUCCUAGGUGUUUUAUCCAGCUGCUAAUCUUUAACUAUAUGAAGAAAAUAACACAAAGUUUUUGUUUUUUUCCUAUGAAAUUGCAAAUAAUAUAUUAUCACUCCACGUUCCCUACAAUUAUUGCAAGAUAUUUUUGGUAGCAUAUAAUUGGUACAUUAGUGUAGUCAUUCAUACAAAACAAGGGUGAAAAGAUGUAUUUUAUUUAACAUAUGAUUCAGUGUUAGAAUUCACAAACAAGAAUUAACACUUUUAAAGAGCACAGAAGACUCAGCCAUGAACACAGAGGAUGGAAGUUUUAUGCUGAAAUCAUGAAGGAGAAGAUACCAGGUAUUUCUUACCAUAUCUUCAGAAAGUUAGAGUUUUUCUUUAUUUUGUAGCUAGCCCAACUGAAAUGGGGGAAAAAAAGGGUAAUACAAUUGUAUAAACCAGGGGCAACAUGAUUUGAUUUAUCAAUUUCCUUAGAAAAAAAAAAAAUGAUUGGUCUUACCACUUUCAGAACUAACGUAAACAUAAAAUUACUUAUAGCAAAUGAAAUGAAUAUGAAAGACAUGUUGGUUCUAUGUUAUGGUCAGGCAGGAAACAGAAAGGGCAUGGAGGUAGUAAGGCAGGAAAGGGAAGCCAAAGAAGCAGAAAAUAAGAGAGCAAAGAUAGGGAGGUUUAUGUAUCAGCCAUCAUAGCAAUCGAAUCAGCAAGUUCUAUGCGUUAGUGGGAAAAAGCUGGAGGGGAAAACAAGCAUUUUCUGAGAUUGCGAGUUGCUGCACAAUAUCCAUUUCCUACUAAAGAAGUAGCAGAUCCUGAAUAUUGCCUGGGUACUCAAUCUUCUCAGCUAAAUCACGGUGCUUCCCAUCCUCCCUUGUACCUGGAUAUGCUAUUGAGACAAAGUUUGAGCCAGUAUGACGUAGGGAGCCCAUAGAAGGUGUCUGAUGGAGCUUACCUAGUUGGGAGAAGGGCUCCUUCUCUUUCCACUCGUUCUCUUUCCUGCCUCCUGGACUCAGAUGUGGUGGACAGAGCUCCAGGAGCUCUCUUGUAGCAUGCAGUACACUUGAGCACAGACUCCAAGCUGGAGAGUGCAGCAGAUUUAUAGAAAUAACUCCAUCUCCUUGAUGAUGCUCACACGAACCCCGGACUGCCCACAACAGGACUUUUUAUAUGACAGAGAAAUUCUAUCUUUAUUAGGCUUCUGUAGCUUUUUUUGUCUGUUAGUUAUCUGGAGCUGAAAUUAAUUUGAGCUGAACAAAAGUUAGACACUAAGAAGAAUAAAUACACAAUUUUCACUUAUUUUUUCCCA
rnacentral:lncRNA from 1 species